CGCCUUCUUAAAUGACAUCAUCAGAAGGAUGGCUCCCUGGCCAAUCAGCAUCUACAUUGAAUCAAUACAUCUCUACGAGGAAAGUUCAGUGUCUCCAUACAGAGGGUGGAGACAAUGAAUGUCAGUCAGAUUAUGCAGCACUGACCCAGGAAGCACUUCUAGCAGCCAUCUGAGUGACUGCCACUGGAACUGUCCCUAUUCAGCAAUGUAAACAUGGCCUUUGAUCUAAAAAUGCAGUACUUACAGCAAAGAGAAUGCAGAUGACUGACUUUACUCACCUGAACAACUACAUUAAGCUGGAGUUGUUGUGGUGACUAUAGUGUCCCUUUAAGGCCAGAGCGGCCAAACUGGAAGUAUAGCGCAAUAAGAG